rnacentral:pre_miRNA from 1 species
GGAGUAUUCCCUCCGUCCCAAAUUACUUGUCGCAGGUAUGGAUGUAUCUAGAUGUAUUUUAGUUAUAGAUACAUCCAUUUCUGCGACGAGUAAUUUAGAACGGAGGGAGUAGUAA